rnacentral:rRNA from 1 species
UACGGAGGAGGCAAGCGUUAUCCGGAAUUAUUGGGCGAAAGCGUCCGCAGGUGGCUAUUCAAGUCUGCGGUCAAAGACUGGGGCUUAACCCUGGAAAGGCCGUGGAAACUGAAGAGCUAGAGUGCAGUAGGGGUAGAGGGAAUUCCCGGUGUAGCGGUGAAAUGCGUAGAGGACUCGGGAAGAACAUCGGUGGCGAAAGCGCUCUGCUGGACUGCAACUGACACUCAGGGACGAAAGCUAGGGGAGCGAAUGGG